UCGGACUGCAGGGCGGGGAGUGCUCGGGCGCCUCUCCAUCCCGGGUGGCAGCGGCGCCAGACAUGCCCGUCACGUCCCCUGGACGAGAGGAAGAGGAGCGGACACGCAGGGAGAAGCCGGCCAUGUGAAUACAGACGCAGAGAUCCGAGUGGUGUAUUUACAAGCCAACAAAUGGCGAGCAUCACCAGGAGCCACCAGAAGCUGGAGGAAGCAAAGAAGGAGACCCCCGCCUCCCGCCCCCCAGAGCCUUCAGAGGGCUUCUAACUUCCAGCUGUGGUUUGUGUUGCUGGCUCAACCAAGAUCCUCCUUUGUCCUGUGCUGCCAGGAUUUUCCUGAAGAUUCUCCAGGUUGGCCCCAAAUCUCACUGCUUGGAGAAGCUGAAUGUCAACUUUGGAUCCAGAAUUUCCAUUGCACCUUCCCUCCUCUGAAGCAUUUGUGAAAAUGUUAAUUAAUUGUGGUUCAAACAGAGACCUCUGUGCCAACUCUGCCACCAUUCAGACAAGUGUUUCCGUUCUGUCUUAAGUCAGUUGGUUUCUGUUUGUAUUUGGCUCCAUCCAUUCCAAAAGGAAUUUGAGGAAUUCAAAACCCGCCUACACCAGAGGCCAGAUUUCCUGGCAUCCACGACAAAAUGGGAAGCCAGAUGGGGUAUGUAGUACUUAUUGCCUGAGUCUUCUCAAUGAUUCUAUGGCUUUAGUGCACAAGUUCACCAAGAUAUGUGUACAAGGAUGUUCAUCGCAGCAUUUGUAAGCGCAAAUAUCCAGCAAUUGGGACUGCUUAAAUAAACUGUAGGGGCCGCCUGGUGGCUCAGUCGGUUGAGCGUCCGACUUCAGCUCAGGUCAUGAUCUCGAGGUCUGUGAGUUCGAGCCCCAC